rnacentral:rRNA from 1 species
CCUACGGGUGGCAGCAGUGGGGAAUAUUGCGCAAUGGGCGAAAGCCUGACGCAGCGACGCCGCGUGAGGGAUGAAGGUCUUCGGAUCGUAAACCCCUGUCAGCAGGGAAGAACGGUCACUGUGCUAAUCAGCAGUGAAUUGACGGUACCUGCAAAGGAAGCACCGGCUAACUCCGGCCCAGCAGCCGCGGUAAUACGGAGGGUGCGAGCGGUAAUCGGAAGUACUGGGCGUAAAGCGCUCGUAGGCCGUAUGUCAAGUCAAGGGUGAAAUCCCCGCGCUCAACGUGGGAACUGCCUUUGAAACUGGCAAACUGGAGUGUGUGAGAGGAUAGUGGAAUUCCAGGUGUAGGAGUGAAAUCCGUAGAUAUCUGGAGGAACAUCAGUGGCGAAGGCGACUAUCUGGCAUAUAACUGACGCUGAGGAGCGAAAGCGUGGGUAGCAAACAGGAUUAGAUACCCCUGUAGUC